UGCAGUACAAUGAAGCGCAGCACAUCAGUACGCUAAAGGAAAACAUUAAAUGGCUAGACAGGUGGUAUGAAUACAUUCAGACCCUUCCAAAGCAGCGGCAAAUCUGCUUUCUAAGCAGGCCAACCAAUGAGGCCUUGAGGUUGACGCUACACAGUGUGGUCGCACUUAUUGACGAUCUCCUGAAGUCUGGUUUUCAGUACGUUCUGGUAGGAAACUUCGGACAAGACCCCUUGGAGAGGUUUUUUGGCAUUACCAGGCAUGUGGCUGGAGAUGGAGGGCAGCCAACUGUGCAGCAAUUUUUAUUCAUUUAUCGUAUGUUGUCAGUAAACAACAUUGUUCAGCCACCAAAACGAGCUUCAGUCGAUUGCGAAGGUCCAAACCUACUUCUGAAGUUGCAGGACAUUUCUGGCGAAAAUGCACCAACAGCAAAUCAGGCUGACAACCUUGCGGUGCUAUUUGAUGAGGUACUUUUGGAUCCUGCAGAUGAUGAAGUUACCAUAGCCACUUUCCAGCCCUUGACAACAAAGCAGAGCAUCCUGGACUAUCUUGGUGGCUAUGUUGUCAAGAAGUUUUCGACACAGACGUGCGCUGCCUGCGUCGAAACGUUGAAGACAUCAUCAAGACAGCCAAGUGACUUGACAGCUACUAAGUCGAAAGGCUACUUGCAAGUCCCUUCAGCCCGCCUGCUUAGACUUUUGCAGGUUGUUGAAGACCACGUGGAGAGAUUCACUGUGAAGAAGGUUGCAACUGGAACUGUUUACAUGGACGUCGUAGACAGUAUACUUAGUGAUGAUCGGACUGUGCAUGCAAGUGUAGGGUGCAAAUCACAUUUUGUAGCUACAACGGCUGAAAUUGUCUACUUUUUUUUGAGGUGCCGACUGCAUUUUUUCACUAGGGAAAAAAAUAAGGCUUCUAGAGCGGCCAAGCGUUCAGUAUGCCCUGCAUCUGGAGGAAGAAAGCCAGCUGAAUGAGCUUCCGGAGCCUGCUUGUGUUAGUACCAGGAUUGUGACGGGAGGUUUUGGUUUACUUCCAUAAUUGCAGUGACAUAGUUUGGGGGGCAUUCAUGUUAAUGAGGCCCGUCUUCUAGCUUGUGUAUCGUUAACACUCAUAUGCAUUUUUCAUUACAUCGGCAAUCUUUAUGAGCUUUCCACUGUCACCUGCAUGAGCAUUUUACUGUGUGUGUCCUGUUUACAUGAUAGUGUUCUAUGCUUAGUUUGCGUAUCCUCGAAAAUAUAUCUGCUGAACUUAAACCUUACUCUAUAGUUUAAUACUUUGGCAGUUUUUUGUGCUGCUAAGUUGUUCACUGUUUACCUUCAGUUUUUGUUUUCAGAAUAAAAUGCUUAGAGCCAGCAA